rnacentral:rRNA from 1 species
GACGACUUCCGGAGACGGAUUUCUUCCAGCAAUGGACCUGCACACAGGUGCUGCAUGGCUGUCGUCAGCUCGUGUCGUGAGAUGUUGGGUUAAGUCCCGCAACGAGCGCAACCCUCGCCUUUAGUUGCCAUCAUUCAGUUGGGCACUCUAAAGGGACUGCCGGUGAUAAGCCGCGAGGAAGGUGGGGAUGACGUCAAGUCCUCAUGGCCCUUACGGGCUGGGCUACACACGUGCUACAAUGGCGGUGACAAUGGGAUGCGAGCCUGCGAGGGUGAGCAAAUCUCCAAAAGCCGUCUCAGUUCGGAUUGCACUCUGCAACUCGAGUGCAUGAAGUUGGAAUCGCUAGUAAUCGUGGAUCAGCAUGCCACGGUGAAUACGUUCCCGGG